GAUAAGAAAGUGGCUGCUGCAAUAGCUGACAACUCUUGAUUCAAAGGCUGGGUAAAGAUAAGGCUCAGUGGCAUCUCUGGAUUCCAGCAGUCUGUCAUCAGAAAGCCUGUAACUUGAAGGUGCUGUUUGCCUCCCAAAGCAGAAGGUUGAAGGCUGACCUUUUUGGGGGCAAGAGGGCAUUUUUCAACCAAUUCUUGGAGGGAAGAAAUCAAAUUACCCCUUUGGUUUUAUCCAAGCUCAGGGAAGUGAAUUUCUACUCUCUACUUUCUCCAGAAAAAAUUCCAAAGCUUUCUGCAGAUCCUUAUGGAGCUGGGACCCAACCACAGCACACCCAGAAGAAAAGGACUAUACAGGCCAGUAUGAUAUGAGAGAAAGCCCGCUGAGGAAUCCUGGCUGGACACGAUCUCUAUAGCAAAAGUUACCAUAGUCCUGUGAACUUCCUCCCUCUGAGAUGAUGCAGCCUUAUCUCUUGGCGAAACAAUUCCUCCCUUCAUCAUCAUUUGGACAGCUCUGUAAAAACAGGUCAUAAUGAACCGAACAAGAUGCCCAAAGGAAAGAAGGCCAAGGGGAGGAAGGUGGCCCCGGCCCCUGCCAUGGUCAAGAAACAGGAAGCCAAAAAGGUGGUAAAUCCUUUGUUUGAGAAGAGGCCUAAGAACUUUGGCAUUGGGCAGGACAUGCAGCUCAAAAGAGAUCUAACGCUUCG